rnacentral:rRNA from 1 species
UACGUAGGGUGCGAGCGUAAAUCGGAAUUACUGGGCGUAAAGCGUGCGCAGGCGGUUAUGCAAGACAGAUGUGAAAUCCCCGGGCUCAACCUGGGAACUGCAUUUGUGACUGCAUAGCUAGAGUACGGUAGAGGGGGAUGGAAUUCCGCGUGUAGCAGUGAAAUGCGUAGAUAUGCGGAGGAACACCGAUGGCGAAGGCAAUCCCCUGGACCUGUACUGACGCUCAUGCACGAAAGCGUGGGGAGCAAACAGG